rnacentral:misc_RNA from 1 species
AAAUGCGAUAAGUAAUGUGAAUUGCAGAAUUCAUUGAAUCAUCGAAUCUUUGAACGCACCUUGCGCUCCUUGGUAUUCCUUGGAGCAUGCCUGUUUGAGUAUCAUGAAAUCUUCAAAGUAAAUCUUUUGUUAACUCAAUUGGUUUCUACUUUGGUAUUGGAGGUCUUUGCAGCUUCACACCUGCUCCUCUUUGUUCAUUAGCUGGAUCUCAGUGUUAUGCUUGGUUCCACUCGGCGUGAUAAGUUAUCUAUCGCUGAGGACACUGUAAAAGGUGGCCAAGGUAAAUGCAGAUGAACCGCUUCUAAUAGUCCAUUGACUUGGACAAUACUUUUAUGAUCUGAUCUCAAAUCAGGUAGGACUACCCGCUGAACUUAAGC